GACGUAGGGCGCGAGCGUUGUCCGGAUUUAUUGGGCGUAAAGAGCUCGUAGGCGGCUUGUCGCGUCGGCUGUGAAAACCCGCGGCUCAACCGCGGGCCUGCAGCCGAUACGGGCAGACUAGAGUGUGGUAGGGGAGACUGGAAUUCCUGGUGUAGCGGUGAAAUGCGCAGAUAUCAGGAGGAACACCGAUGGCGAAGGCAGGUCUCUGGGCCACUACUGACGCUGAGAAGCGAAAGCAUGGGGAGCGAACAGG
rnacentral:rRNA from 1 species